rnacentral:misc_RNA from 1 species
AACGCACGAGACCUGCGGACCUGCGGAGGGAUCAUUACACAACAAAAUAUGAAGGCCUGGCUUCGCGGCCGGCUGAAGUAUUUUUUUUCACCCAUGUCUUUUGCGCACUUGUUGUUUCCUGGGCGGGUUCGCCCGCCACCAGGACCAAACCAUAAACCUUUUUUUUUAUGUAGUUGCAAUCAGCGUCAGUAAAAACAAUGUAAUUAUUACAACUUUCAGCAACGGAUCUCUAGAUCGGAA